rnacentral:tRNA from 2 species
GCCGUCUUAGCUCAGCUGGCCAGAGCAACUCAUUCGUAAUGAGUAGGUCGGGGGUUCGACUCCCCCAGACGGCU